CAAACGAUAAUGCAAAGUCGAUAUUUUAUCGAUAAAAUGGUUUUUCUGUACUUCUUAAGAAAUAAAUGUCUAUCGAGUAUAUAUUACUUAAGCCUGUGAGUUUUUUUUCUUGUGAUGUUAUUUUAAUUUAACUUAAACUACAUUACGCUAUGUUUUAUGCAAUAAAACAGUAAAGAGGUUUUCUAUAGGUGAAUUUAUACCUAUGUCAUUCACGCGUUUGUCAAAUUGACUGAUGUGUAUGUGUACAUAGAGUGAGGUUAAUUUUGGGUUUAUUAUUGUUGAAUAGAUAAGUUUAUUUUGGCAGAGAAGAGAAAACGAGGAUAAACCUUUCUUGCAGAAGAAAAAAUUGCUGACGUCUCAUAGAGACACAAUAUUAAACAAAAAAUGGAUGGGACCACGAACGAAGCCAAAAACAAAGCUUGGAUCCAGUCACAAAUAGUUUUAAUGCGACAGGAACCCUUUACAGUUUCAGGUGGUGCGAGAAAUUGGAAAGACGUGUAAAAACAUGCUGCGCCCAGCCCACCUCAAAUUGAAUUGGUGCAGGAGGAUGAUGAUAAUGUUUGGUACAUCAUAUGAGGACUAAUAUUAAAAUAUUUGUUUAC
rnacentral:lncRNA from 1 species